rnacentral:rRNA from 1 species
AUACCAAAGUAUUAAUAGUUAUGAUCUUUAAAUUUAAAGGAUUUGGCGGUAAUUCAGCCUUUCAGAGGAACCUGCCCUGUAAUUGAUAAUCCACAAUAAAUUUUACUUUAUUUAUAAAUUUAUAUACCUCUAUCAUUGAAUGUCUUAUUAAAGUUAAUGAUUUUCUAAAUAGUUUUUGAGUUAAAAUGUUAGGUCAAGGUUUAGUUAUAAUAAAGAAGAGGUGGGUUACAUUUUUUAUAUAAAAGGAGAAUUAUAUGGAAAUAAAUUUGAAUGUGGAUUUGAUAGUAAAUUUAAUUAAAAAAUUAAUUUGAUAUUGGCUCUGAAUUAUGCACACAUCGCCCGUCGCUCUU